rfam:Erinaceus europaeus unplaced genomic scaffold scaffold00740, whole genome shotgun sequence
CCAAAGGCUCUUUUAAGAGCCACCCACUUUUUUAUAAAAGUGCUGG